UACGGGGGCAGCAGUGGGGAAUAUUGCACAAUGGGCGAAAGCCUGAUGCAGCUAUGCCGCGUGUAUGAAGAAGGCCUUAGGGUUGUAAAGUACUUUCAUCGGGGAGGAAAAAACAAAACUAAUAAUUUUAUUUCUUGACGUUACCCGAAAAAGAAGCACCGGCUAACUCCGUGCCAGCAGCCGCGGUAAUACGGAGGGUGCUAGCGUUAAUCAGAAUUACUGGGCGUAAAGAGCACGUAGGUGGUUUUUUUAAAGUCAGAUGUGAAAUCCCUGGGCUUAACCUGGAACUGCAUUUUGAAACUGAAAUACUAGAGUAUCGUAGAGGGAGGUAGAAUUCUAGGUGUAGCGGUGAAAUGCGUAGAUAUCUGGAGGAAUACCUGUGGCGAAAGCGGCCUCCUAAACGAAUACUGACACUGAGGGUGCGAAAGCGUGGGGAGCAAACGAGGGAUUUAGGAUACC
rnacentral:rRNA from 1 species